GAAGUGGUGGCCGAGCGGUCUAAGGCGCUGGAUUUAGGCUCCAGUCUGAAAAGGCGUGGGUUCGAAUCCCAUCCACUUCA
rnacentral:tRNA from 1 species